GAGACAACGUUCGUCAGAUAACAUCUACAGGUUUUUCCAGCUGUUCAUCAAAACUUGUGUUAAGCGUAACGAGCUGCGGCCUACUUUAUAUUCACUCUGAGUAAGGUUACGCUGUCACCAGGAAACUUCUAUUUUUUUUUUUUCUUCUUCUUCUUCUUUAUUAACCCCGCCCUCGUCUGGUCAGGACUGGAUCCUCUGGCUGCAGCGGUGAGAAGUGCUGCUCUGUCCAGCCUGCACGGUUUAUGAAAGACGUCGGAUCAGCAGCAGAUGAAAGAAAAGUUUGCGUCUUGUUUGAAUAUUAAGGUCCCAGACUCUGGAGGAAGAGUCAAGAAACACGGCGUCCAUGAUUGACGUUUCCACAGUGAGUGAGCCACCGACCAGGAAGUUCAUGCUUCGCUCUGCUGACAAGCUUCAUGGAGACGCUGACUUAUUUAUCAGCAGGACUUGGCACCUGCCCACUCUACCGAAGGUGUCAAUACCUGCAUUAUAUCAGUGGUUGAACGUCAAGCCAAUAGAAACAUUGGAGUAUGGUCAAGAGGAA